rnacentral:lncRNA from 1 species
GAUGUGAUUGGUUUGUGUGCAGUUACUCUACCAUGGAAACUGCAGGCAUGAAGUUCUGUCCUGAUCAUAUGGACUGAAACAGAUGUCCCUGUAACACUUCCAAACUUUGCAUAGAGGACAUGCACCAGUUUCAGACAGUUUUUGAAUGCCAUCCUCUUCAGGCCUGCUGGUCCCUCUCUGUCAUUUUCUUGGGGCGACUAGGCAAUUUCUGACCACUAGUGGCACCUUCACAUUUCCACUUUGUGAUAAUGUCACCAACCAUGGACUUUGGAUGGGCUUAAUGUGGCGGCCAUGUUCUGUACUGACGAGCCUGAAAUGUGACAUCCAAUCACCACACCUCUCUCAAAGUCACUAAGCUGUCGUCACUUCGACAUCGUUUGUCAAACUGUCUCCCAUACAGGCACACUCAUUGAUAAUGGCAUCCAGCAAUGAACUAUGUGAUUUUAUGCAGAUUUAUAUUGAAGGAGGGCCAAAACAUUGGAUUAACAGGGUGUUUGGUUAUUUAUUGGGAGGUAGUGUACUCUAAUUAGGGGAUUAUCCUUUAAAUCAAACCGGAUUUUGCAGCCAGGUCUCCCCCUAGUGGAAUGGGUUUGUGUUGAAUUUAUAAUGAUUGGUUAUUUUUAGAUUAAGACUAUGGUG